rnacentral:rRNA from 1 species
AAUAGAUACCCAGGUAGUCCACGCCGUAAACGAUGGAUACUAGCUGUUGGAGGUAUCGACCCCUUCAGUAGCGAAGCUAACGCGUUAAGUAUCCCGCCUGUGGAGUACGGUCGCAAGACUAAAACAUAAAGGAAUUGACGGGGACCCGCACAAGCGGUGGAUCGUGUUCUUUAAUUCGAUGCUAAACGAAGAACCUUACCAGGGUUUGACAUCCCUUGAAUUAAUCCGAAAGGAUUGAGUGCUUUAUUGAACAAGGUGACAGGUGAUGCAUGGCCGUCGUCAGCUCGUGUCGUGAGAUGUUUGGUUAAGUCCAUCAACGAGCGCAACCCUUGCAAGUAGUUGUAUUUUUCUACUUGGACUGCCCCGGUAACGGGGAGGAAGGAGGGGAUGAUGUCAGGUCAGUAUUUCCCUUACAUCCUGGGCUAGAAACACGAUACAAUGGCUAGUACAAUGCGCAGCGAAGCCGCGAGGUGAAGCAAAUCGCAUCAAAGCUAGUCCCAGUUCGGAUUGGAGGCUGAAACUCGCCUCCAUGAAGUCGG